GCCAUGAUUAGAGUCAUAUCCUAACAUGGUGCUUUUCCUGAUGUGCUAGAGUUCUCAGAGAGGAUCUGCUGGUCUUGAUUCACUGGUAGGGGCAGUUGGUGCUCCUGUUAGUGCCCAGAUCAGAAAAAUUA
ensembl:snoRNA